CUCGGUCAAAUGACUCCUGUUCAGAAGUGCCAGAAAGAUGUUUCCAGAGUUAUUCUAGGGAUCCCAUCAGGUCUUAUUUAAUGGAAGCAAGGAAAACAACCAAAUGGAAAUCCAGCACCCUGUGACCCACCAACCACCACCCCACCCCACUGCUUACCCUUUACGUCCACUGCACUUCCAAGAAGGACAACAAACAGGGUUCUGCUGGAGCCCUUGGUGGGUUGUGUUAAGGAUGGUGGUGAUGUCAAUGCAUCCCUGGCCAUUUCCCCAGUUCUGUGUGGUCACAGUCCCGGCCACUUCCAGGAGGAUAGUUGACAGCUUUCUCACUGGUGGUUACCAAGGCCCAUGGCUUCUGG
rnacentral:lncRNA from 1 species